AUUGAACGCUGGCGGCAGGCCUAACACAUGCAAGUCGAACGAGUGGCGGACGGGUGAGUAAUGUCUGGGAAACUGCCUGAUGGAGGGGGAUAACUACUGGAAACGGUAGCUAAUACCGCAUACCAUCAGAUGUGCCCAGAUGGGAUUAGCUUGUUGGUGGGGUAACGGCUCACCAAGGCGACGAUCCCUAGCUGGUCUGAGAGGAUGAUCAGCCACACUGGAACUGAGACACGGUCCAGACUCCUACGGGAGGCAGCAGUGGGGAAUAUUGCACAAUGGGGGAAACCCUGAUGCAGCCAUGCCGCGUGUGUGAAGAAGGCCUUCGGGUUGUAAAGCACUUUCAGCGAGGAGGCGUUACUCGCAGAAGAAGCACCGGCUAACUCCGUGCCAGCAGCCGCGGUAAUAC
rnacentral:rRNA from 1 species